rnacentral:rRNA from 1 species
GACGUAGGGCGCGAGCGUUGUCCGGAUUUAUUGGGCGUAAAGAGCUCGUAGGCGGCUUGUUGCGUCGACCGUGAGAACCCGGGGCUCAACUUCGGGCUUGCGGUCGAUACGGGCGGGCUAGAGUUCGGUAGGGGAGACUGGAAUUCCUGGUGUAGCGGUGAAAUGCGCAGAUAUCAAGAGGAACACCGGUGGCGAAGGCGGGUCUCUGGGCCGAUACUGACGCUGAGGAGCGAAAGCGUGGGGAGCGAACAGG